GACGAAGGUGGCAAGCGUUACUCGGAAUUACUAGGCGUAAAGCGUGGGUAGGUGGUUCGGUAAGUCUGUUGUGAAAGCUCCUGGCUUAACUGGGAGAGGCCAAUGGAAACUGCCGGACUUGAAUCGUGGAGAGGUCACUGGAAUUCCUGGUGUAGCGGUGAAAUGCGUAGAGAUCAGGAGGAACACCAAUGGCGAAAGCAGGUGACUGGACACGUAUUGACACUGAGCCACGAAAGCUAGGGGAGCAAACAGG
rnacentral:rRNA from 1 species